GACGAACGCUGGCGGCGUGCCUAAUACAUGCAAGUCGAGCGCAGGAAGCCGUCUGAACCCUUCGGGGGGACGACGGUGGAAUGAGCGGCGGACGGGUGAGUAACACGUAAAGAACCUGUCCAUAGGUCUGGGAUAACCACGAGAAAUCGGGGCUAAUACCGGAUGUGUCAUCGGACCGCAUGGUCCGCUGAUGAAAGGCGCUCCGGCGUCGCCCAUGGAUGGCUUUGCGGUGCAUUAGCUAGUUGGUGGGGUAACGGCCCACCAAGGCGACGAUGCAUAGCCGACCUGAGAGGGUGAUCGGCCACACUGGGACUGAGACACGGCCCAGACUCCUACGGGAGGCAGCAGUAGGGAAUCUUCCACAAUGGACGAAAGUCUGAUGGAGCAACGCCGCGUGAACGAUGAAGGCUUUCGGGUCGUAAAGUUCUGUUGUAAGGGAAGAACAAGUGCCGCAGGCAAUGGCGGCACCUUGACGGUACCUUGCGAGAAAGCCACGGCUAACUACGUGCCAGCAGCCGCCGUAA
rnacentral:rRNA from 1 species